rnacentral:rRNA from 1 species
GACGAACGCUGGCGGCGUGGAUAAGACAUGCAAGUCGAACGGGACAGACCGAGUAGCAAUAUUUGGAAUGUUCAGUGGCGAACGGGUGCGUAACACGUGGAUAACAUUCCGGAAAGCGGGGAAUAGCCCAGGGAAACUUGGAUUAAUACCGCAUGUGGCCGCAAGGCUAAAGACGGGGACCGCAAGGCCUGUCACUUUCCGAUUGGGCCGCGGCCUAUCAGCUAGUUGGCGGGGUAAUGGCCCACCAAGGCUACGACGGGUAGCUGGUCUUAGAGGACGACCAGCCACACUGGAACUGAGAAACGGUCCAGACACCUACGGGUGGCAGCAGUCGAGAAUCUUUCACAAUGGGGGCAACCCUGAUGGAGCGACGCCGCGUGGAGGAUAAGGUCUUCGGAUUGUAAACUCCUGUCAUGCGAGAACAAGGUACUCAGGCUAAUAACCUGAUUGUUUGAUGGUACCGCAAGAGGAAGAGACGGCUAACUCUGUGCCAGCAGCCGCCGUAAUAC